CACACACACACACACACACACACACACACGCAUACCCACCCCACCCCACCGUACCCCACCCCUCAGGGGUGACCCUCAGCCCCUGGUUUUCUAGCAUCAGCUGUCCCAGCAGGCCAUGAGGACUGUGGUUGCGGCUGGGGUUUGGGUUUGGUGAAAGCUUAGUGCUCCUGACAGAGGACUGAACUCGGGGCAGACGUGGCAACAGAAAGCUGUCUGGAGGCCAUGUAGGGGGUGGUCCCAGGCUGUCAGAUCCGCUCCACAGACCGCUCGGUGUGUCUGUAGUGAGCACAGCACGUACGGUGCAUGUAAGUGAUCUGACACUCACACAGCUAAAUGUAAUCUAUAAUUUUGAAGUGAGGUUGAAACAUGAAAGAUCAUGCUUUUCCAACUGCUCUGUGGCUUACACUCCUUUUUGAUGAUGAUAGCUGAAGCCUGCCGGCAUUUGAACAUUUCCACCCAUUUGUUCAGACACCUGCAGUUGGGUGCCAGUGCCGAUAUUUAAUUGUUUGAGGGUAAAUUAUAAAAUCCUGCAGAGGCUGUUUUCACCCUGGAAAGUAAGAGAGGGUCUCUUACAAACACUGGCUGCCUGCUCCUUGCCUGUCCCGGGACUUAGGUGCCGGCCGCUCUUAGGGGAGUCCACGUGGCAGUGCAGCCACCAGCUCCCGGCACUCCCUGGGAGACUGUCUGUCAGGAGCUGUAGUUCAUCCUGGAUUCUGAGACAAUGAUUGGCUGAGUCAAAGGUCUGCUUUAUCAGCCCGAAGACUUCCUUUAUUUUUAAGUUUGGUCACUCACCUCUGCUCCUGCGGACACUCUGCAGCCACAGAAGAUGCCAGAACGAGUUUAAAACGGCCCACAGGAUAGCCAGGGCGCUCUUGGCACAUGCCUUGUUAUUAGU